GAUGAACGCUGGCGGCGUUCCUAAUACAUGCAAGUCGAGCGAACAGACGAGGAGCUUGCUCCUCUGACGUUAGCGGCGGACGGGUGAGUAACACGUGGAUAACCUACCUAUAAGACUUGGAUAACUUCGGGAAACCGGAGCUCAUACCGGAUAAUAUAUUUAACCGCAUGGUUCAAUAGUGAAAGACGGUUUUGCUGUCACUUAUAGAUGGAUCCGCGCCGCAUUAGCUAGUUGGUAAGGUAACGGCUUACCAAGGCAACGAUGCGUAGCCGACCUGAGAGGGGGAUCGGCCACACUGGAACUGAGACACGGUCAAGACUCCUACGGGAGGCAGCAGUAGGGAAUCUUCCGCAAUGGGCGAAAGCCUGACGGAGCAACGCCGCGUGAGUGAUGAAGGUCUUCGGAUCGUAAAACUCUGUUAUUAGGGAAGAACAAAUGUGGAAGUAACUAUGCACGUCUUGACGGUACCUAAUCAGAAAGCCACGGCUAACUACGUG
rnacentral:rRNA from 1 species